UGUGCUCCAGGAUGGGGUCUGCCAUCCUCCUCACUCUCCUCCUGGCUGUUCUCCCAGGCGUCUGUGCCCAGGUGCAGCUGGUGCAGUCAGGGGCAGAGGUGCGACCGCCCGGGGAGUCUCUGACGAUCUCCUGCAAGGCAUCUGGAUACACCUUCACAAGCUACUGUAUGCACUGUGUGCGCCAGAGGCCCGGGAAGGGCCUGGAGUGGGUGGGGAGAAUCUAUCCUGGUAAUUUUAACACAUACAAGAGUCCUGCCUUCCAAGGCCACGUCACCAUCUCCACCGACAACUCCAUCAGCACCGCUUCCCUGCGCUGCAGCAGCCUGAAGGCCGAGGACACAACCUUGUAUUACUGUGCUAAGGACACAGCAAGGGAACUGCAGUCCAGACACGAACCUCCUGCAUGGUGCGGCCGCCAGAGGGCGCCCGCGACAAAGGCGCGGAGUUACCCGCGCAGGUGCAAGUGGACUCAGCCCUGGUUUCCUGUAGGGUGGCGGUUUUCUCUCUAUAAAACAACUUCCACAACGUCGCUGGAUUGA